rnacentral:rRNA from 1 species
UGGGGAAUAUUGGACAAUGGGCGAAAGCCUGAUCCAGCCAUGCCGCGUGUGUGAAGAAGGUCUUCGGAUUGUAAAGCACUUUAAGUUGGGAGGAAGGGCAGUAAGCGAAUACCUUGCUGUUUUGACGUUACCGACAGAAUAAGCACCGGCUAACUCUGUGCCAGCAGCCGCGGUAAUACAGAGGGUGCAAGCGUUAAUCGGAAUUACUGGGCGUAAAGCGCGCGUAGGUGGUUCGUUAAGUUGAAUGUGAAAGCCCCGGGCUCAACCUGGGAACUGCAUCCAAUACUGGCGAGCUAGAGUAGGGCAGAGGGUGGUGGAAUUUCCUGUGUAGCGGUGAAAUGCGUAGAUAUAGGAAAGAACACCAGUGGCGAAGGCGACCACCUGGGCUCAUACUGACACUGAGGUGCGAAAGCGUGGGAGCAAACAGG